rnacentral:rRNA from 1 species
AAUGGAUGAUGGCGACCGGCGGAAGGGUGCGUAACGCGUGAGCAACAUGCCCUAUACAGGGAGAUACACCAGGGAAACUUGGUCUAAUAUCCCAUAGCAUUCAUUGAAGGCAUUCUUUAAUGAAAUUAAAGCUUCGGUGGUAUAGGAUUGGCUCGCGUGACAUUAGCCAGAUGGUGAGGUAACGGCUCACCAUAGCAAUGAUGUCGUUAGGGGUUUGAGAGGAACGCCCCCACACUGGGACUGAGACACGGCCCAGACUCC